rnacentral:pre_miRNA from 1 species
UCUUAUAGAUGGGCAAAGAAUGUGAUUUCUUGAGAUGGAAUGUACUCCUGGUGAAGAAGUUGUGAA